rnacentral:rRNA from 1 species
UACGGGGGGAGCAAGCGUUGUUCGGAUUUACUGGGCGUAAAGGGCGCGUAGGCGGUCAGCACAAGUCAGUUGUGAAAUCUCCGGGCUUAACUCGGAAAGGUCAGCCGAUACUGCGGGGCUAGAGUGCAGAAGGGGGCAACUGGAAUUCUCGGUGUAGCGGUGAAAUGCGUAGAUAUCGAGAGGAACACCUGCGGCGAAGGCGGGUUGCUGGGCUGACACUGACGCUGAGGCGCGAAAGCUAGGGGGAGCGAACGGGG